rnacentral:tRNA from 1 species
GGAGAUGGCUCAGUCAGUAAAGCGCUUGUCUUGAAAGCAUGAGGACCUGAGUUCAAUCCCCAGCACCUCCA